UCAAAGCUGUUAUCCAAUUAACGACCUUACUGAGCGUUUCCACCAAUAGGGUGUCGCGCUGCUAAGCUGUGCGCAGCUGCUCGUUUGCCCGGAAGAAGAGACAGCCGCCAUCAUUUCACCACCACGCAGCUUCUGACCUCAUGCCACCGCCGUUGCGCCGCAAAAAUAUUUUAGUUUUCUGACGUUUUCUUCCCCUGGACUGCCUAAAACAAAUACGUGAGGGUACUGAUCCAAAUGUGUGUGGACCACGGCGUACCAGAGAAAACUACAACUCUGCUGUGAACCAUCUGCUAAUCAACAAUACAACAGAUGUUGAUGGAGUAAAGUUUUGGUGGUGACACAGCUAAGACCUGCAUAUCUUUUCAAGAAAGUUGGUGUUCCUGACAUUUUCAAACCUCCAAGUUUAAACAACGUCAAGAAAUUAAUUCUCAAAGACUUCAGCAUUCUGUGUUGUUGUAAACAUCAUCAGAAUGAAGAGAAUGAGAAGCAAACCAGUGUUAAGAAGAUUACCCACUAAAGACGGAAUCAACCCAUGGCAGGAAACUUUUCGGGCGGAUCCUCUCGGCCCAAGGUGAAAACUCGAUGGACAACAAUUUGACUUCUCCAGCAGAACUUUUCUCUUUUGGUGCCAUGUACAUUUAGAACCUGAUCUGUCUGAGGGCCAUCUUCAACCAAGUCCAGACUCAGUGACUUAUUACUCCUGUUCAGUGAGGGGCAAGUGACUAGUUUUCAAGUUUUUGUUCAACCAUUACCAGUGAUAUGCUACAUUGUCAAGGUUUAUAGUGAUUUUUGAUCCUGCAGACAAUAUGAUCUGUACUGUCUUCUUUCCCAGAUGUUAUUUAUAAUUGUCUCAUUGAUUUUCAGUGAUAAUCAGUACCUUGAUUAAAUUUGUGCAUCUUUAAGUUGCCAAUGUAAAAUUUACACCAAAAUAACGUAUGUUGCACAUGUACUGUAUUUUUAGCGGUAAAAUACCGGCAGCUGUGGUUGCCAGGAAUUUACCGUGAAAUUUAACUGGUCGAAAUAAAAAUGUUUUACAAUUUUACCGUGUUUUUUAUUGACACAGCCUGUAAAAAGGUU